AACGAACGCUGGCGGCAGGCUUAACACAUGCAAGUCGAACGAGAUCUUCGGAUCUAGUGGCAGACGGGUGAGGAACACGUGGGAACAUCCCUUUCAGUUCGGAAUAACGUUGGGAAACUAACGCUAAUACCGGAUACGUCCUUCGGGAGAAAGAUUUAUCGCUGAAAGAUUGGCCCGCGUCUGAUUAGCUAGUUGGUGAGGUAAUGGCUCACCAAGGCUACGAUCAGUAGCUGAUCUGAGAGGAUGAUCAGCCACAUUGGGACUGAGACACGGCCCAAACUCCUACGGGAGGCAGCAGUGGGGAAUAUUGGACAAUGGGCGCAAGCCUGAUCCAGCCAUGCCGCGUGAGUGAUGAAGGCCUUCGGGUUGUAAAGCUCUUUUAUCCGGGAAGAUAAUGACUGUACCGGAAGAAUAAGCCCCGGCAAACUUCGUGCCAGCCGCCGCCGUAA
rnacentral:rRNA from 1 species